CAGCCGCCGCGGUAAUACGUAGGGUGCGAGCGUUAAUCGGAAUUACUGGGCGUAAAGCGUGCGCAGGCGGAUUGUUAAGCAAGACGUGAAAUCCCCGGGCUUAACCUGGGAAUGGCGUUUUGAACUGGCAGUCUAGAGUGUGUCAGAGGGGGGUAGAAUUCCACGUGUAGCAGUGAAAUGCGUAGAGAUGUGGAGGAAUACCGAUGGCGAAGGCAGCCCCCUGGGAUAACACUGACGCUCAUGUACGAAAGCGUGGGUAGCAAACAGGAUUAGAUACCCUGGUAGUCCACGCCCUAAACGAUGUCAACUGGUUGUUGGGGGAGUGAAAUCCCUUAGUAACGAAGCUAACGCGUGAAGUUGACCGCCUGGGGAGUACGGUCGCAAGAUUAAAACUCAAAGGAAUUGACGGGGACCCGCACAAGCGGUGGAUGAUGUGGAUUAAUUCGAUGCAACGCGAAAAACCUUACCUACCCUUGACAUGUCCAGAAUCCUGCAGAGAUGCGGGAGUGCCCGAAAGGGAAUUGGAACACAGGUGCUGCAUGGCUGUCGUCAGCUCGUGUCGUGAGAUGUUGGGUUAAGUCCCGCAACGAGCGCAACCCUUAUCAUUAGUUGCUACGCAAGGGCACUCUAAUGAGACUGCCGGUGACAAACCGGAGGAAGGUGGGGAUGACGUCAAGUCCUCAUGGCCCUUAUGGGUAGGGCUUCACACGUCAUACAAUGGUCGGUACAGAGGGUUGCCAAGCCGCGAGGUGGAGCCAAUCCCAGAAAGCCGAUCGUAGUCCGGAUUGUUCUCUGCAACUCGAGAGCAUGAAGUCGGAUCGCUAGUAAUCGCGGAUCAGCAUGUCGCGGUGAAUACGUUCCCGGGUCUUGUACACACCGCCCGU
rnacentral:rRNA from 1 species